CGUAUUUUUAAGUCGUUGCAGUUAAAGGCUCGUAGUUGGAUUUCGGUUGAGAACGGCCGGUCCGCCGUUUGGUGUGCACUGGCUGGUUUCAACUUCCUGUAGAGGACGCGCUCUGGCUUCAUCGCUGGACGCGGAGUCUACGUGGUUACUUUGAAAAAAUUAGAGUGUUCAAAGCGGGCUUACGCUUGAAUAUUUCAGCAUGGAAUAACACUAUAGGACUCCUGUCCUAUUUCGUUGGUCUCGGGACGGGAGUAAUGAUUAAGAGGAACAGUUGGGGGCAUUCGUAUUUCAUUGUCAGAGGUGAAAUUCUUGGAUUUAUGAAAGACGAACUUCUGCGAAAGCAUUUGCCAAGGAUGUUUUCAUUAAUCAAGAACGAAAGUUGGGGGCUCGAAGAUGAUUAGAUACCAUCCUAGUCUCAACCAUAAACGAUGCCGACUAGGGAUUGCAGGAUGUUAAUUGAUGACUCCUGCAGCACCUUAUGAGAAAUCAAAGUUUUUGGGUUCCGGGGGGAGUAUGGUCGCAAGGCUGAAACUUAAAGGAAUUGA
rnacentral:rRNA from 1 species